GAUGAACGCUGGCGGCGUGCCUAAUACAUGCAAGUCGAGCGAACAGACGAGGAGCUUGCUCCUCUGACGUUAGCGGCGGACGGGUGAGUAACACGUGGAUAACCUACCUAUAAGACUGGGAUAACUUCGGGAAACCGGAGCUAAUACCGGAUAAUAUAUUGAACCGCAUGGUUCAAUAGUGAAAGACGGUUUUGCUGUCACUUAUAGAUGGAUCCGCGCCGCAUUAGCUAGUUGGUAAGGUAACGGCUUACCAAGGCAACGAUGCGUAGCCGACCUGAGAGGGUGAUCGGCCACCCUGGAACUGAGACACGGUCCAGACUCCUACGGGAGGCAGCAGUAGGGAAUCUUCCGCAAUGGGCGAAAGCCUGACGGAGCGACGCCGCGUGAGUGAUGAAGGUCUUCGGAUCGUAAAACUCUGUUAUUAGGGAAGAACAAAUGUGUAAGUAACUAUGCACGUCUUGACGGUACCUAAUCAGAAAGCCACGGCUAACUACGUG
rnacentral:rRNA from 1 species